UCUUAUUUUUUUUUUUUAAUUAAGAAUGGAGAAAGGAUAUCGAGAAAGAUAUCAACGUGAGAAUCGAGAAUUGAAUACGAGUGAAUCAUGAAUAUGAAUCGUUUGUAGAAAAUUAAAGCAACAAAUUUUCAACACGAGAAAGCAUAGAACUCACGUAUCCUUUCCGAAAUUAUAAUACUGAAGAAACUGCGUAUCAAGAUGAAUAAAAGAUUAAUGAAAAGAUAAAAUCUCUCCCAAAAAGAUCUGAAGAAAUAUAUUUGAGAGCGGAUUGCAAACAUUAAGAUCUCUUAAACGUCCGUUAAUAUAUGAAGACAUAUUCAUAUGUUGAGGAACAUAUAUACGGUCAGAGGAAACAAGCGUGCGAGACGAACGAAGUGAUUCUCAUUCCGAGGGACUUUCGAGGGGCGCAAAUG